rnacentral:rRNA from 1 species
GACGAACGCUGGCGGCGUGCUUAACACAUGCAAGUCGAACGGUAAGGCCCUUCGGGGUACACGAGUUGCGAACGGGUGAGUAACACGUGGGUGAUCUGCCCUGCACUUCGGGAUAAGCCUGGGAAACUGGGUCUAAUACCGGAUAGGACUCCGGACUGCAUGGUCUGGGGUGGAAAGCUUUUGCGGUGUGGGAUGGGCCCGCGGCCUAUCAGCUUGUUGGUGGGGUGAUGGCCUACCAAGGCGACGACGGGUAGCCGGCCUGAGAGGGUGACCGGCCACACUGGGACUGAGGUACGGCCCAGACUCCUACGGGGGGCAGCAGUGGGGAAUAUUGCACAAUGUGCGCAAGCCUGAUGCAGCGACGCCGCGUGAGGGAUGACGGCCUUCGGGUUGUAAACCUCUUUCAGCAUCGACGAAGCGAAAGUGACGGUAGGUGCAGAAGAAGGACCGGCCAACUACGUGCCAGCAGCCGCCGCGG